rnacentral:rRNA from 1 species
UACGUAGGGGGGCGAGCGUUGUCCGGAUUCAUUGGGCGUAAAGAGCUCGUAGGCGGCUUGGUAAGUCGGGUGUGAAACCUCCAGGCUCAACCUGGAGACGCCACUCGAUACUGCCAUGGCUAGAGUCCGGUAGGGGCCCACGGAAUUCCUGGUGUAGCGGUGAAAUGCGCAGAUAUCAGGAGGAACACCGGUGGCGAAGGCGGGGUCUCUGGGCCGAUACUGACGCUGAGGAGCGAAAGCCAGGGGGAGCAAACGGGG